GGGAUGAGUAAAGUGGCGAACGGGUGAGUAACACGUGACUAACCUGCCCUAGAGUGGGGAAUAACCUCGGGAAACCGGGGCUAAUACCGCAUAACAUCCCAGGUCGAGACGCCUGGGAUCAAACGGGAAACUGGCUCUUGGAGGGGGUCGCGGCCGAUUAGCUAGUUGGUGGGGUAACGGCCCACCAAGGCGACGAUCGGUAGCCGGCCUGAGAGGGCGCACGGCCACACUGGAACUGAAACACGGUCCAGACUCCUACGGGAGGCAGCAGUGGGGAAUUUUGCGCAAUGGGGGAAACCCUGACGCAGCAACGCCGCGUGGAGAAUGAAGCCCUUUGGGGCGUAAACUCCUUUCGACCGGGACGAUAAUGACGGUACCGGGAGAAGAAGCACCGGCUAACUCUGUGCCAGCAGCCGCGGUAAUACAGAGGGUGCAAGCGUUGUUCGGAAUUAUUGGGCGUAAAGGGCGCGUAGGCGGUGCGGUAAGUCUGUGGUGAAAUCUCUGGGCUCAACUCAGAGUCUGCCGUGGAAACUGCCGUGCUGGAGUGUGGGAGAGGUGAGUGGAAUUCCCGG
rnacentral:rRNA from 1 species